CCUACGGGGGGCAGCAGUGGGGAAUAUUGGACAAUGGGGGCAACCCUGAUCCAGCCAUGCCGCGUGUGUGAAGAAGGCCCUCGGGUUGUAAAGCACUUUCAGUGAGGAAGAACGCCUGGUGGUUAAUACCCAUCAGGAAAGACAUCACUCACAGAAGAAGCACCGGCUAACUCCGUGCCAGCAGCCGCGGUAAUACGGAGGGUGCGAGCGUUAAUCGGAAUUACUGGGCGUAAAGCGCGCGUAGGUGGCUUGAUAAGCCGGUUGUGAAAGCCCCGGGCUCAACCUGGGAACGGCAUCCGGAAAUGGCAAGCUAGAGUGCAGGAGAGGAAGGUAGAAUUCCCGGUGUAGCGGUGAAAAGCGUAGAGAUCGGGAGGAAUACCAGUGGCGAAGGCGGCCUUCUGGACUGACACUGACACUGAGGUGCGAAAGCGUGGGUAGCAAACAGGAUUAGAUACCCGAGUAGUC
rnacentral:rRNA from 1 species